GAUGAACGCUAGCUACAGGCUUAACACAUGCAAGUCGAGGGGAAACGACAUCGAAAGCUUGCUUUUGAUGGGCGUCGACCGGCGCACGGGUGAGUAACGCGUAUCCAACCUGCCCACCACUUGGGGAUAACCUUGCGAAAGUAAGACUAAUACCCAAUGACGUCUCUAGAAGACAUCUGAAAGGGAUUAAAGAUUUAUCGGUGAUGGAUGGGGAUGCGUCUGAUUAGCUUGUUGGCGGGUAACGGCCCACCAAGGCUACGAUCAGUAGGGGUUCUGAGAGGAAGGUCCCCCACAUUGGAACUGAGACACGGUCCAAAACUCCUACGGGAGGCAGCAGUGAGGAAUAUUGGUCAAUGGGCGAGAGCCUGAACCAGCCAAGUAGCGUGCAGGACGACGGCCCUAUGGGUUGUAAACUGCUUUUAUAAGGGAAUAAAGUGAGUCUCGUGAGACUUUUUGCAUGUACCUUAUGAAUAAGGACCGGCUAAAUUCCGUG
rnacentral:rRNA from 1 species